UGAUUUGGCUUCUUUUUCACAGGCCUAGGACAAGUCAACUGAAUUUGACACAGCCUUUUAAACACGGAUCAAUCACGCCCAGCUUCGUGAGGGCAUUGGGGGUGGGGCACAGGACGUUGAUGACUCGGUCUUGGGAGGGAAGAGAGGCCUCUUUGGCCCCCACUUCCUCCUUCCCUCCUCUGCCUUUGCCUGGAUGUCAGGGGGGCAGACUGGCGUCUGCGCUGGGCUUGGCCUCAGGAUGCUGUCACGCUCUCUCUGCUCUAUUGGCGAGCUGGUGUCUCGGGAGGAGCCCUUAGGUUUUCCUGCGCUUCCGUUUGGUUGUUGCCGUUUCUGGGGCCAAGGAUGGGACCCAGCGGGGGCAAACUUCUUGAUGGAGCCGUCUGCACUCAUUUCCUCUGCUUCUUCAGCAUUUCUGUCCCUGCCCCUCCACAUGAGGCUUACCAAUGACCUCCCAGAAGGCGGCUCCAAAGGAUCCAUCUCAGAUUCGAUUCCCCAGACUGAGGGAUCACCAAAAGCAACCACGUGCCUCCUUUCCUGAGCCAACAUGAAGAUGACCUCCCAAACUGCCCCCUGGAGGGGCUUUGGGCCUUGGAAGCCAGGAAAGUGAGCUGAGAUGUGAUGUUGUCCUGACACACCUGCCUGGGUCAGUUAAAAUCAAUGGCCAGGGGCCGGCCCAGUGGCGGAGUGGUUAAGUUCAUGCGCUCUGCUGCACCGGCCCAGGGUUUCGCUGGUUCGGAUCCUGGGCACGGACACAGCACUGCUCAUCAGGCCACGGUGAGGCGGCGUCCCACAUGCCACAACUAGAAGGAACCACAACUAAAAUAUACAACUAUAACUGGGAGGAUCUGGGGAGAAAGAGCAGGAAAGAAAAAAAAGAUUGGCAACAGUUGUUAGCUCAGGUGCCAAUCUUUAAAAAAAAGAAAAAUCAAUGGCCAAUCAGCAGGCACCUCUGCCUGGAGCCCACCUGCAUCCCGUCAGCUCCUCUCUGUUCUGAAGACUUCUUUUCCUUCCCAUCAGAGAACGUCUCCCUCCAAAAUCUAACAGGCCAUUCACUCGAUAGAACCAGUCUCUUCUUCUCCACCGCAGACAACACGCUCCAGUUCUGGCCUCAUCAUCUGUUACCUGGCCUGUUAUUACAGACCCUUCACAGCUCCCCUUGGCUCCCAACGCUCCCUCCACUCCAUCCUCUGCUCAGAGCAGCCAGAGAGAUUGUCCUGAAGCACAAAUCGAAUCCCGGUAUCACCCGUCUGCUUGGAGCCAUCCCCUGCCAGUGCCAGGCCAAACGUUUUUCGCACGGCAGAAUGUGGUCCUAGGGAACUAUUCAUCCUUGUCUCUUUCCCUUCGGUCCAAAAACAUGCACAGAUUUCUCCCUCAUCCCCUAUCCUCUUCUCCUUUAUAGGCAAACGUCUUGACCCCCAUCUCCAGCAGAGUUCCCGCUCCCUCCUCUGAGCCCCACACUGCCUCUUUCUUUUCUCUGUUUCUUUGUCAGUUUCUCCCCCUGUCUGGAAGCCUGAGACGGUGUCUAACGCGUCUUUGUAGCCGAGGGCCCAGGACAAGGCCUGGCAGAAGGAGUCAUUUAUUAAUUUAAAAGAUAUU
rnacentral:lncRNA from 1 species